CCUCCCUUCUAAAAAUCCAGUUUUGUCCUGCAGAUGCGUUUUUUUUUCCCUUGGAGGGGGCCAUGUGAUUGCUCCCCUCCUCACCAUCCUGCAUUCUCUUCAUUCCAGGGCCCAGUCACAUUGGGAUGGAAGUCCUCAUCCUCAGGCUCAGAGUGGUGAAUGGGAGGCGUGCCUUGCUCAGCCCCAGAGUGGAGACAAAUGGGUGUGGAAUUCACCAUAAUCUAUGGCAAGAAAUGGCCCUUACCCAUGGGAUUGAGAAUAUUAAUGCCAGGAAGAGGUCAGACAUUGAUAUUGAAGAGCAGACCUGUGUUGGAAUGAAUGCAGUUCUAGGGCGAGACUGGUGAAUGAAGAAGGGUAAGUAUGAAUGAGGGCUGACUAGAGCAUGACAGAGAAGAAGGUCAAAAGUACCACAUGUUAAGCUGAAGCCAAGGUUUUUGGGUUUUUUUUUCUCUUUUUUUGGCCAUCCCCAUGGCAUAUGGAGUUCCUGGGCCAGGGACCAGAUCUCAGCCAGAGCUGCUGGACCCUUAACCCACUUAACUCAUUGUGCCAGGCCAGGGAUUGAACCUGAGUGCUAGGGCUCCAGAGACACUUCUGAUCCUGCUGCACCAUAGCAGGAACUCCUGAAGCCAAGAGUCUAAUGAAAGAUUAAGGUGUUCUAAUAAAAGACAGCAAGUGCUCAGCAAAUGCUUCUCAACUGGAUAAAUCAGAAGAUGCUGGUCAGGGGAUCCUUGGCGGGUGAAGGUGCAGAGGCAACCAGCUUGGGAUGUUAAGGGUCUGCAGAGAGUGUAAUUGCGGCUUGAACUGGGGGCAUCCUUGGAAGAGUAGGUACCAAGCAACAGGAACAGAACACCGAAGCUGGGCUUGGUUAAGUGGGAUGGGGCAGAAACUGCUAAUGGCUUACCAGUAUCUACUCUCCCCAUUGUAACACAACCCAGAUUUUAAACUAGAUGACAAGGUGCCCAGUUGAAAGACAACAUUAGUCAGUCAUAUUUGCAGCUGGGAUGGCCACUAAGGUAUAAACAGAAGUUGGAACUAUAUUCAAUAUCCUGUGAUAAACCAUAAUGGAGAAGAAUAUGAAAAAGAAUAUAUAUGGUAUACAUAUGCAUAACUGAAUCACUUUACUGUAGAGCAGAAAUUAACAUAGCAUUGUAAAUCAACUACAUCUCAAUAAAUUUUUUUUAAAAAAGAGUUAUAAGUGGAGGUUGUUGCACGGGGGGUGGGGGGCGCUCUUCUGUGAAGAGGUGAUAGAAUACUAACAUACUUGUAUUUUUCCCUUUUCCCUUCUUCCUGUGCCUUCCUAGAAACGAAAGAUCAAUGUGAUGGUUAGAUCUUCAGCUAUUGAGUCAUGUAGUGAAUUUGAAAAUGGAAGCCAUAUCCUAAGGACAGCAGAACAAAAAGAUAGAGGAAACCUGGAACAUUGAUGACUCUGUAGCUCCCAUACCACUCAGAAUUCAGCCUUCCUUUGUAUGAGAAAUAAGAUAUUAUCUUAUUGAAGCUACUAUUAUUUCCUCCUUCACCUGGGACAUCACAAGCCUAGGGAUCUUUGGAAGGUUUCAAACAAAGAGUGAAGAAUUAGGGAUUUUAUUUGUUUAGUUUUUGGUUGUUUAUUUUUUAAGUUAAAUAGGCUGUAAAAUAAAAGUGUUUUAAUUUGAAAAAAUAGUCUCUGAGCUCUAUCAUAAAAGGAAUCAAGGGGUUAUAUAUUAUUGUAUUAUGUAUUUAUUUGGCUUAAACAAAAAGAGGGUUUUAUUUGCUUAUGUAAUUGAGAAAUCCAGAAGUUGGGUGGGCUUAGGUAAGGCCAUCUCUAGUAGCUGGAUAAGCCAACCAAGAUUCAGUGUCUUUCCAUUUCUUCUGAGUCUCCC
rnacentral:lncRNA from 1 species